rnacentral:rRNA from 1 species
UACGUAGGGUGCGAGCGUUAAUCGGAAUUACUGGGCGUAAAGCGUGCGCAGGCGGCCGAGCAAGUCGAGUGUGAAAGCCCCGAGCUUAACUUGGGAACUGCGCUCGAAACUACUUGGCUAGAGUGUGGCAGAGGGAGGUGGAAUUCCAGGUGUAGCGGUGAAAUGCGUAGAUAUCUGGAGGAACACCGGUGGCGAAGGCGGCAUCCUGGACCGGUAUUGACGCUGAGGCGCGAAAGCUAGGGGA